AGAGUUUGAUCCUGGCUCAGAUUGAACGCUGGCGGCAGGCCUAACACAUGCAAGUCGAGCGGUAGAGAGAAGCUUGCUUCUCUUGAGAGCGGCGGACGGGUGAGUAAUGCCUAGGAAUCUGCCUGGUAGUGGGGGAUAACGUUCGGAAACGGACGCUAAUACCGCAUACGUCCUACGAGAGAAAGCAGGGGACCUUCGGGCCUUGCGCUAUCAGAUGAGCCUAGGUCGGAUUAGCUAGUUGGUGAGGUAAUGGCUCACCAAGGCGACGAUCCGUAACUGGUCUGAGAGGAUGAUCAGUCACACUGGAACUGAGACACGGUCCAGACUCCUACGGGAGGCAGCAGUGGGGAAUAUUGGACAAUGGGCGAAAGCCUGAUCCAGCCAUGCCGCGUGUGUGAAGAAGGUCUUCGGAUUGUAAAGCACUUUAAGUUGGGAGGAAGGGUUGUAGAUUAAUACUCUGCAAUUUUGACGUUACCGACAGAAUAAGCACCGGCUAACUCUGUGCCAGCAGCCGCGGUAAUACAGAGGGUGCAAGCGUUAAUCGGAAUUACUGGGCGUAAAGCGCGCGUAGGUGGUUUGUUAAGUUGGAUGUGAAAUCCCCGGGCUCAACCUGGGAACUGCAUUCAAAACUGACUGACUAGAGUAUGGUAGAGGGUGGUGGAAUUUCCUGUGUAGCGGUGAAAUGCGUAGAUAUAGGAAGGAACACCAGUGGCGAAGGCGACCACCUGGACUAAUACUGACACUGAGGUGCGAAAGCGUGGGGAGCAAACAGGAUUAGAUACCCUGGUAGUCCACGCCGUAAACGAUGUCAACUAGCCGUUGGAAGCCUUGAGCUUUUAGUGGCGCAGCUAACGCAUUAAGUUGACCGCCUGGGGAGUACGGCCGCAAGGUUAAAACUCAAAUGAAUUGACGGGGGCCCGCACAAGCGGUGGAGCAUGUGGUUCAAUUCGAAGCAACGCGAAGAACCUUACCAGGCCUUGACAUCCAAUGAACUUUCUAGAGAUAGAUUGGUGCCUUCGGGAACAUUGAGACAGGUGCUGCAUGGCUGUCGUCAGCUCGUGUCGUGAGAUGUUGGGUUAAGUCCCGUAACGAGCGCAACCCUUGUCCUUAGUUACCAGCACGUCAUGGUGGGCACUCUAAGGAGACUGCCGGUGACAAACCGGAGGAAGGUGGGGAUGACGUCAAGUCAUCAUGGCCCUUACGGCCUGGGCUACACACGUGCUACAAUGGUCGGUACAGAGGGUUGCCAAGCCGCGAGGUGGAGCUAAUCCCAUAAAACCGAUCGUAGUCCGGAUCGCAGUCUGCAACUCGACUGCGUGAAGUCGGAAUCGCUAGUAAUCGCGAAUCAGAAUGUCGCGGUGAAUACGUUCCCGGGCCUUGUACACACCGCCCGUCACACCAUGGGAGUGGGUUGCACCAGAAGUAGCUAGUCUAACCUUCGGGAGGACGGUUACCACGGUGUGAUUCAUGACUGGGGUGAAGUCGUAACAA
rnacentral:rRNA from 2 species